rnacentral:rRNA from 1 species
CAUGAAGCCGGAAUCGCUAGUAAUCGCGGAUCAGAAUGCCGCGGUGAAUACGUUCCCGGGUCUUGUACACACCGCCCGUCACACCAUGGGAGUCGGGAAUGCCCGAAGUCAGUGACCCAACCCAAGGGAGGGAGCUGCCGAAGGCAGGCCUGGUGACUGGGGUGAAGUCGUAACAAGGUAAC